rnacentral:rRNA from 1 species
AGAGUUUGAUCAUGGCUCAGAACGAACGUUGGCGGCGUGGAUUAGGCAUGCAAGUCGAACGAAGCACGUCUUGUAGCAAUACCGGGCGUGACUGAGUGGCGAAAGGGGCAGUAAUGCGUGGGUAACCUACCCUGGGGACUGGGAUAGCGGCCCUAACGGGCCGGUAAUACCGGGCGACGUAGCGAGGGGGCAUCUUCUUGCUACCAAAUGAGUUUCGCCUUGGGAGGGGCUCACGUGCUAUUAGCUAGUUGGUGAGGUAACGGCUCACCAAGGCAAAGAUGGCUAGCGGGUGUGAGAGCACGACCCGCGCCACUGGCACUGAGACACUGGCCAGACUCCUACGGGAGGCUGCAGUCGAGGAUCUUCGGCAAUGGGCGCAAGCCUGACCGAGCGACGCCGCGUGUGCGAUGAAGGCCUUCGGGUUGUAAAGCACUGUCGAGGGGGAGGAAAGCCGCAAGGUUUGACCUAUCCCUGGAGGAAGCACGGGCUAAGUUCGUGCCAGCAGCCGCGGUAAGACGAACCGUGCGAACGUUGUUCGGAUUCACUGGGCUUAAAGGGCGCGUAGGCGGCUUGUCAAGUCAGGGGUGAAAUCUUUCGGCUUAACCGGAAAACAGCCCCUGAUACUGAUAGGCUAGAGGGAGGUAGGGGCAUGUGGAACUCCAGGUGGAGCGGUGAAAUGCGUAGAUAUCUGGAGGAACGCCGGUGGCGAAAGCGACGUGCUGGAUCUCUUCUGACGCUGAGGCGCGAAAGCUAGGGGAGCAAACGGGAUUAGAUACCCCAGUAGUCC